rnacentral:pre_miRNA from 1 species
UUAUGGGGUAUGUUCUAGAAGUCUAACAUUAUGCUGAGACUAUAGACUGUUAUUAGUCUCAGCAUAAUGUUAGACUUCUAGAACAUACCCCGUU